rnacentral:rRNA from 1 species
UACGGAGGGUGCAAGCGUUAUCCGGAUUCACUGGGUUUAAAGGGUGCGUAGGUGGGUCUGUAAGUCAGUGGUGAAAUCUCCGGGCUUAACCCGGAAACUGCCGUUGAUACUAUUUGUCUUGAAUAUUGUGGAGGUAAGCGGAAUAUGUCAUGUAGCGGUGAAAUGCUUAGAUAUGACAUAGAACACCAAUUGCGAAGGCAGCUUACUACACAAUGAUUGACGCUGAGGCACGAAAGCGUGGGGAUCAAACAGG